AGGUUAACAAUGUGCUGGGCAGAGCCGUCAAUUUCAACAAAGGUGGAGAUUUGCACUUGUAAAGGAGGACUGAUGCUGUCAGAUGAUAGAGAUAGAAGAAAGGCCUCUUCCUUAUUGAGGCAGAAGAACAAUACUAUGAAACGUCUUUGGGAGAAGUUUUUACCACUAAUGCUGUUCAUAUUGAAAUACAGGGUAUGAACUAACAGAUGGCAAUGACAAGAGCUGCAAUCACAUAAUCACAGGGUAUCUGUCAGUUGGCUUUUGAAAAUCUCCAGGAGAGAGCACAGAUUCUCCUGGCAACCUGUUCCACCUGUUCAGCUCUCCAGCUGUUGUGCUUAUAUCCAGUUUGUUGUAUCCUUUUGUUUCAGUGUGUGCCUGUUGCCCACAUUCUCCCACCACACACCACUGUGAAGAGCCUGGUUCCUGUUAGCACAAUAUUUCAGCAUGGCUAAGUCCCUCUAAAAGAUGCUCCUGCCCUUCAGCAUACU